UUGGUUUCAAGGACAUGAUGUGCUGAUCACUCCCAGAGGAAGUACUUCCAAUGACAUCCUCUCGCCUUUCUGACAGCAUGAAGGGAAAACAAAAAGCACGAUGCUCUACCUUGCUUGGAUGCCCUGCGCCGAAUCUUCAUUUUGGGAAAGGAAGGCCACGAGUAGUUAAAAGCACCAGGAGUUUUGUCCUGUUUCUGCUUUGGGGAAAGGAAGAAGGGCUCCCAUGCCAAACUGCCAAUAAAGAGGACAAAAGAUCGGAGCACAGAAGCCGCAUUCCCCACUUGUCAUGUGCUUUAAAACUUCUGCUUAGCCAGGUACUAGUGGUUUAUGUCUAUAAUUUUAGCUAUUCGUGAAGCUGAAACCUGGA